rnacentral:lncRNA from 10 species
GUUGACAGACUGGAGCGCAGCGGAGACCUCGGCAUCUGCGGUGCUCGGGAUUGUGUCCCCUACGGUCUCUUACCGUGCCUCCCGAUGGCGGGAGCUGGAAUUUGGUCCCCAGACCCCUUGGGAAGACGCGCACACCCUGGCAAACCAUGUGUACACCCGCGGUAGAAGCAGGUCUUCAAGACCAAGGAACACCUACACUCCAGGUGUCUCCUUGCCAGAUGUUUCACCUGCAUUGGUAAAAGGCAGAAUCCUCGGCAGGGGUCGGUGGCUCACGCUUGUAAUCCCAGCACUUUGAGACGCCGAGGCGGGUGGAUCACGAGGUCAGGAAUUCAAGACCAGCCUGGCCAAGAUGGUGGAACCCCGUCUCUACUAACAGCACAAAAAUUAGCUGGGCCUGGUGGCGCAUGCCUGUAAUCCCAGCUAAUGGGAAGGCUGAGGCAGAGAAUGGCUUGAACCCAGGAGGCAGAGGUUGCAGUGAGCCGAGAUCACGCCACUGCACUCCAGCCUGGGCGACAGAGCAUGACUCCAUCUCAAAAAAAAGAAAAGAAUCCUGGGAUGAGCUCCGCCCCCCCCACCAGCCGAGGGACAGGCCUGAGGGAAACGCUGACCAGUUUGUGUGAACGCCAUCACCCACACUCUUGAAAUAUAUCUGGAAAGUGCCGGAAGUGAACUGGGGGAUCCUUGCCUCCCAAAACAGGGAUGGGCUCUGAACGCCCCACCACGGCCUGCUGCCACGCGCGCCUCUCGCUGCAGGAGCGGUGGAUCCACCGAUGGGCUUCCAGGGCGGUCUUGCGCUUGAAGCCUUUCCCACACUCCACGCAGGGGAAGGGCCGGCUGUCGGAGUGAAUGCGCCGGUGACUGAGGAGGAGGGAAGAAUAGGUGAAGCGGCGGCCGCAGUCAGGACAGGGGUAGGGCUUCUCGCCGGUGUGUAUGCGCCUGUGGAUGGCCAGCAGGGAGGU